AUUGAACGCUGGCGGCAGGCCUAACACAUGCAAGUCGAGCGGGGUUUUCGGACCUAGCGGCGGACGGGUGAGUAAUGCGUAGGAAGCUACCCGAUAGAGGGGGAUACCAGUUGGAAACGACUGUUAAUACCGCAUAAUGUCUACGGACCAAAGUGUGGGACCUUAGGGCCACAUGCUAUCGGAUGCGCCUACGUGGGAUUAGCUAGUUGGUGGGGUAAUGGCUCACCAAGGCGACGAUCCCUAGCUGGUUUGAGAGGAUGAUCAGCCACACUGGAACUGAGACACGGUCCAGACUCCUGCGGGAGGCAGCAGUGGGGAAUAUUGGACAAUGGGCGCAAGCCUGAUCCAGCCAUGCCGCGUGUGUGAAGAAGGCCUUCGGGUUGUAAAGCACUUUCAGUAGGGAGGAAGGAUGUUGUGUUAAUAGCACAGCAUUUUGACGUUACCUACAGAAGAAGCACCGGCUAACUCUGUGCCAGCCGCCGCCGUAAAAC
rnacentral:rRNA from 1 species